UCUGCGCCUGGACGCCCAGCUGGCCGGCUCUGCAAGACCCAGGAGGUCUCUGCUCUUCCCCCAGGUCAGGGCCCGUUUCCUGCCGCCUGCUGCACACAGUGAGUGCUGUGUUGGGAGGGAGGGUCCCCCAUUAGGGCCUGGGAGUGUCCCUCAAAGGCCCCUGUGUUCAAGGGUUGUCCCAGCCCGUGGGCCACUGGGAGAUGGUGGGACCCUUGAGAGGCGGGGCCUGGUGGAAGGAGGGUAGAGCCCUGGGGGUCAUGCCCUUGAAAAGGAUAUAGGGACCCUGGCACUUUCCUGUCUCUCUCUCUCUCUCUGUGUUUCCUGUCCACCAUGGGGCAAGCAUCCUCCUCUGCCACCUGCUCCUGCCAGGAUGUUCUGUGCUGCCACAGCCCCAGAGGCAACCAGGUCAAGUGACCACAGACAGAAACUGCUGAAACUACUGAGUCAGAACAAACCUUUUUCUUUAUAAAGUUUCUUUUCUCAGGCAUUGUGUCACAGCAAUGGAAAUCUAGCACACACGAUUCUCCAGAUGGACAGUGAUGGACAGUUUCCUGCUGGAUUAAAACAGAGGAAUUAAAUGAGAAUUCACGGCAUUUGGACCAGAACAGAAUGGAACACAAACCUCAGAAAGAGACUCUAGUAUAUUGAAGAAUGUAAUACUACCUCCUGAGUCAAAGAAUAUUUCCUUGGUGGACUUAGCAAUGAAGCAGCAUUCCCAAUGUAAGCCCUAGGUACGUCCCACGUCAUCCAGCUUUUGCACAGCUGCAAAGAAAACACGCACGGUAGUCACGGAUUACCUAGUGACGGGGCUGUGUCCUGAGAAAUGCAUUGGUGACAACCUCAUCACCCUGCACACCUCCGAGGGUGUAAACCAGCAUGGCUCAAAUAGCUCAACCCCUCCACCUGGCCUCUUGUUGCCACCGAGAGACGCAGAAAUCAUCAGGCCUGUGAGGCAGUUGCUGGGGUCACACAGAGAACUUGUUUGUUAUAAGGAGAAUGAGCACCCCCUGGAAUGAUAAUAAACAGGAUCGCCGAGCAAAUUCACAAGCCAGCAAUGCCAUCGCCUAUGGAGCUGGCCGGGCACGACGCGCUCGGUGUCCCUGUUGGCACUUUCUCUCCACCAGCAUUGCCAUAAACACAGCCGCCACCCCAUGACCUCACAGGCCAGCCCUGUCACUAGCCAACCCCGUCAGCGUCUCGGGGACCACUGUCUUGGCCUUAUGGCCCGCGAUGUCCUAUGGCACAGCACUGCUCUCCGUUUCAUAGGUGCUCAGGAAUUGUCGAGAUUGUGCUGGAAAGUGGCUUAAACAAAUUCAUUUUUAAAAACAUUCCCAAGCAUCUUCUUCAGAACUAUUUUUUCCAUCCCAAAGGUCAAUACAGGGGCUACCAGAUGUCUCUCCCUUUCCCACCCACAGCUCCCGUGUGGCUCCUCGGGUGACCUCUGUUCCCUCCUGCUCUGGGCUACCCCGGUGGCCCCAGGACUUCCCAUUCCACUUGCCCCCAUGCCACCCCCCUCUGGGACAGCAGGAGCCGCUGGAAUUUCCACCCCCCAUCCUCCCUGGCUCCCUGCGGAGAAGAGCCUACCACAGGCCCCCAGAGACAGAACCUCGUGCCUGGCUGCUUCAGGAAACAAGUUCCCCACCUUCAACAGAUCAGUGAGGAGGGAUCACUCAGUGACUGGCAGCUGGCACCACUGGUUACCUGCUUGGGAACAAAUGCUCCAUUUCCCACCUCACACCAAGACACCUUCCAGAUGGGUCGAAAAGCCUACAACCAACCUAAAUGAGCUACGGAAACGCAGAUGGAUGCCCAGGAGGCGUCAUGCAACCACCGACCCUGGCAGCCACUUCAUAAGCAUACACAGCCCUGCAUGCCCCAGAGUGCCCCCGAAGCCUUGGGAAUGAAUAUUGGCAACAGCUCCAACCCGUACACGUGACAGUAGAGUGGAUUUUGACACAUGGAGCAUCACCUCCCAUUCUGUAGUCUACAUGAUGUGGAGUUCACUGUUCGUGUGUUCAGAUACGAACUCAGGAGAGUGACUUCCAUUCAUCCUACUGUCUCCUUCCCUUCCUUCCCCUUGGUGGACUCCAGUGAGCCUCUGUUCUCCCUCCCCAGGCUGUGUGCUAGCCCCUUGGUUUCUGGUUACUCCCGGGUCUGGAUCCAGCCAACUCCACCCAAACUCCAGUGAGUUCCCUGGGACUCCUGCGCGUGCUCUGCUCCCAGCCACCGUGGCCUGUCACCUGGAUGGCUGCCGCCGUCCCCUGCUUCUGCUGGAUCUAAUCAGGAGGUUGGUAAACUUUUCCAGGAAGGACCCAGGCAGGAAACCUCGUGGGCUCUGCUGUCCCGUGGGUUGCUGUCCCGGUUACUCUCGCGCCACGUCAACAGCCGUGGGUACUAAACGGACGGGCACUGAGAUCCACAGAGUUUUCAUGAGGCGCGAAAUAUCAGUCUCUUUUGAUUUUCCCGACAAUGUAAGGUGCACAAAACUGAUCUCGGCUCCCAGGCUGCUCCGAGCCGCUGAAGGGAGCCAAUUGGGCGCUUCACCCGCCUCCUCCUGGAUUCACCUCUGGAUGGACCAGCUCUGACACCUGCCAGGAGGGCAGUUCCACCAGGCAAGGACUCCUGUCCCCAGCUUCCAGAACAGCGAGGGACAUGCAGUGAGCCCUCCACCAAUUUCAUUAAGUGAAUGAACAAGUGGGUGAGUGAGUGAGUUCUGGCCGGUCCCUAUCAUCAGUCCCAGGAAUCGAGGAAAUCAAACAUCAUUCUCCUCGUUUCUGAGUAGCGGAGGAGCUGCAGUUUCCUGAGGGAAGGAGCUGGGUUUGGCUCGUCUUUGUGUUUCGGGGGCACAGACGCGUACCUGCCAUCGUCAGAGCUAAGCCGAAGUCAGUGCCUUACCAGAGAACUGAAAUGUUAUGCUCCGUUUGAUGAAACUGAAAUGCAUUCUGCUGUCAUGUACGAACAAAUAAAAAAAAUGAGCAAAUAAGUAAGAAAAAAGAGUCUUCCCCUUGAAUCUCCAAAACUGUGAGCUAAAUAAACCUCUUUUCUUUGUAUAUAACCUAACCUCAGGUAUUUUGCUACAACAACAGCAAUGCACGAGUACAUUCCUUCAGGCAAGCACUUUCUCCUCAUAACGCUAUGGGAAACCUCGCCCCAAGCUGGUUAAUGUAGACACCUGUGUGGAGUGUGGAGGGGAGCUGGGGGCCGACAGCCUCCUGAGGUUAACUUACCGGAUGGAGCAGACGGAAAGGUCAUGCUAAGGAGAGAUGGCAUGUUGGCUGGGACACGCCCAGAGGGUGAUGGCUAUCAUGGUGGGCAGCCCAGGGAAGCCAAAUUCAAGAUGGAAAUUACUUUUCUAACCUUCCAAAUCUUGUCCUUCAAAAACAUACUGUUAACCUGUUCUUCCUUUUAGGUGUGUCAAGAAAAUUAUGGCCUGUGCUCCAUAUCCCAGGGUUCCUGACCUGCAGGGUCUGGGGUGGGGCCUGAGCCCAGCUAAGGAGGAGUCAGAGAGACCACCCUCGGGGUGAGAGAGGAGCGGCAGGUGGCCUUCCUGGAGCCUAUGUGUCCAGAAUGGGGCUCUGGAGCCGAGUCAGAUGAGUCACAAUCCUGCAGUGCGGCCUUCAACGUCUCGGGUUCCUACCUGGGAAUGGGGUUAUGCCACCUUCCACAAAACCCUGAGGUUAAAGGAGAAGUCUGCAAUGUGCCUAGCAAGGGGCCCACCUCCU